CCUCUGGGAUCCGCGGCGGGGAAUUAGGAGGGCAGGAAUGGCAAAAAAGUAUAUUCUGUGGGAUGGGAACGGAGCCUUUAUGCCUGAUUUGGAGGGUGAUGGAUGCCGCUGUAGCGGGCGCGUGGGUGCCUCCGUCUAUGACAUGGAGGGCCGCGUCCCUGGGAAGCUUCCGAACCGUCCCGUCUCGUGGUUGUUCCAAAGGACUCACGAAUACGUUGGCCCUUGGUGUAGAGCCACGUGCCAGCCUGGGGACGCAGAAAGUGCCGACGCUCCGCGCGAGAUGAGCAAAGCGGAAGGAUGAAGUGGGGGUGAAGCGACUAUCGCAAGUCCUGACGCUCCCGUGUCUUGCUGCUGGCCAUCACCAGAUGAUGAGA